UUGUAGAAAAAGAAAGUGAAGAAAGAUUCCAAUGCCCCAGGGUCGUCUUUCAUCCGAACUGCAACUAAAUCGCCAGCGGGUCAUGUGACCGGACCGUCUGGCUCUGGGACACAGGCAGCUCGGUCCGGUUUUUCACGGGACACAAGGGAGCGAUAUAUUCACUGGACUUUUCACCUGAUGGCCGGGCGUUGAUAAGCGUAUUCUAGUUUGGGAUCUCGCAGAGGGGACACCAUUGACCGAGCUAAAAGGACACUCAGAUACAGUGUACUCUUUGAUGUUUA